rnacentral:rRNA from 1 species
GCCGGCAGCUAGCUCUCUGCAACUCUCACAUGGUCGCCCACUGAAGCUAAGCAGGGCUGCGCCCGGUCAGUACCUGGAUGGGAGACUACAUGGGAAAGCUAGGUUGCUGCCGGAA